GUCUUAGAUAGCCUAGCUGGUAGAGUCUUGGGCGUGCGACCAGAUGAAUCGGGUUCGAGUCUCGGUCUAGACU
rnacentral:tRNA from 1 species